UACGUAGGGGGCGAGCGUUGUCCGGAAUUAUUGGGCGUAAAGAGCUCGUAGGCGGUGUGUCACGUCGGCCGUGAAAACCUGCAGCUUAACUGUGGGCGUGCGGUCGAUACGGGCAUCACUGGAGUUCGGCAGGGGAGACUGGAAUUCCUGGUGUAGCGGUGAAAUGCGCAGAUAUCAGGAGGAACACCGGUGGCGAAGGCGGUUCUCUGGGCCGAUACUGACGCUGAGGAGCGAAAGCGUGGGGAGCAAACAGG
rnacentral:rRNA from 1 species